GUAACAAGGUUUCCGUAGGUGAACCUGCGGAAGGAUCAUUCAUAAUAAGUGUUUUAUGGCACUUUUUUAAAUCCAUAUCCACCUUGUGUGCAAUGUCAGGGUUGGUUUCUCUCUUUUGAGAGAUCAACCCCAAACAUCAACUCUAUCUUAACUCUUUGUCUGAAAAAUAUUAUGAAUAAAACAAUUCAAAAUACAACUUUCAACAACGGAUCUCUUGGCUCUCGCAUCGAUGAAGAACGCAGCGAAAUGCGAUACGUAAUGUGAAUUGCAGAAUUCAGUGAAUCAUCGAAUCUUUGAACGCAUAUUGCGCUCUUUGGUAUUCCGAAGAGCAUGCUUGUUUGAGUAUCAGUAAACACCUCAAAGCCUUUUUUCUUUUUUGAAGAAAGGCUUUGGACUUGAGCAAUCCCAACACCAAUCUUUUAAAGAGAGGGGGCGGGUUGCUUGAAAUGCAGGUGCAGCUGGACAUUCUCCUGAGCUAAAAGCAUAUUCAUUUAGUCCCGUCAAACGGAUUAUUACUUUUGCUGCAGCUAACAUAAAGGGAGUUUGACCAUUUUGGCUGACUGAUGCAGGAUUUUCACAAGAGUCUUCAAAACCUCUUGUUAAACUCGAUCUCAAAUCAAGUAAGACUACCCGCUGAACCUAAGCA
rnacentral:misc_RNA from 1 species